rnacentral:rRNA from 1 species
GACAGAGGUGCCGAGCGUUAGGCGGAAUCACUGGGCUUAAAGCGUGUGUAGGCGGUGGCCUAAGUACCUUGUGAAAUCCCACGGCUCAACCGUGGAACUGCUUGGUAUACUGGGUCUCUUGAGCCACCUAGGGGCAAGUGGAACAAACGGUGGAGCGGUGAAAUGCGUAGAUAUCGUUUGGAACGCCAAUGGUGAAAACAACUUGCUGGGGGUGUGCUGACGCUGAGACACGAAAGCCAGGGGAGCAAACGGG